GUGGGGAAUUUUGGACAAUGGGGGCAACCCUGAUCCAGCCAUGCCGCGUGCGGGAAGAAGGCCUUCGGGUUGUAAACCGCUUUUGUCAGGGAAGAAAUCCUUUGGGUUAAUACCUCGGAGGGAUGACGGUACCUGAAGAAUAAGCACCGGCUAACUACGUGCCAGCAGCCGCGGUAAUACGUAGGGUGCGAGCGUUAAUCGGAAUUACUGGGCGUAAAGCGUGCGCAGGCGGUUGUGUAAGAUCGAUGUGAAAUCCCCGGGCUCAACCUGGGAACUGCAUUGGUGACUGCAAGGCUGGAGUGCGGCAGAGGGGGAUGGAAUUCCGCGUGUAGCAGUGAAAUGCGUAGAUAUGCGGAGGAACACCGAUGGCGAAGGCAAUCCCCUGGGCCUGCACUGACGCUCAUGCACGAAAGCGUGGGGAGCAAACAGGAUUAGAAACCCGUGUAGUCC
rnacentral:rRNA from 1 species